rnacentral:rRNA from 1 species
UAAUGGGUGAUGGCGUGCCUUUUGUAGAAUGAACCGGCGAGUUACGAUUUGAUGCAAGGUUAAGCAGUAAAUGUGGAGCCGUAGCGAAAGCGAGUCUGAAUAGGGCGUUUAGUAUUUGGUCGUAGACCCGAAACCAGGUGAUCUACCCUUGGUCAGGUUGAAGUUCAGGUAACACUGAAUGGAGGACCGAACCGACUUACGUUGAAAAGUGAGCGGAUGAACUGAGGGUAGCGGAGAAAUUCCAAUCGAACCUGGAGAUAGCUGGUUCUCUCCGAAAUAGCUUUAGGGCUAGCCUCAAGUGAUGAUUAUUGGAGGUAGAGCACUGUUUGGACGAGGGGCCCCUCUCGGGUUACCGAAUUCAGACAAACUCCGAAUGCCAAUUAAUUUAACUUGGGAGUCAGAACAUGGGUGAUAAGGUCCGUGUUCGAAAGGGAAACAGCCCAGACCACCAGCUAAGGUCCCAAAAUAUAUGUUAAGUGGAAAAGGAUGUGGCGUUGCCCAGACAACUAGGAUGUUGGCUUAGAAGCAGCCAUCAUUUAAAGAGUGCGUAAUAGCUCACUAGUCGAGUGACACUGCGCCGAAAAUGUACCGGGGCUAAACAUAUUACCGAAGCUGUGGAUUGUCCUUUGGACAAUGGUAGGAGAGCGUUCUAAGGGCGUUGAAGCAUGAUCGUAAGGACAUGUGGAGCGCUUAGAAGUGAGAAUGCCGGUGUGAGUAGCGAAAGACGGGUGAGAAUCCCGUCCACCGAUUGACUAAGGUUUCCAGAGGAAGGCUCGUCCGCUCUGGGUUAGUCGGGUCCUAAGCUGAGGCCGACAGGCGUAGGCGAUGGAUAACAGGUUGAUAUUCCUGUACCAC